CGGAGGGGGCUAGCGUUGUUCGGAAUGACUGGGCGUAAAGGGCGCGUAGGCGGUUUUUUAAGUGAGGCGUGAAAGCCCUGGGCUUAACCCAGGAGGUGCGUUUCAUACUGGAAGACUUGAGUACGAGAGAGGAAAGCGGAAUUCCUAGUGUAGAGGUGAAAUUCGUAGAUAUUAGGAAGAACACCAGUGGCGAAGGCGGCUUUCUGGCUCGUAACUGACGCUGAGGCGCGAAAGCGUGGGGAGCAAACAGGAUUAGAUACCCUGGUAGUCCACGCUGUAAACGAUGAGUGCUAGACGUUGGGGAGCAAUCUUCAGUGUCGCAGCUAACGCAUUAAGCACUCCGCCUGGGGAGUACGGUCGCAAGAUUA
rnacentral:rRNA from 1 species